UCUUCAAGUAAAUGGUCUCUAGGCAAAAAUAAGUAGGAUAAUCAAAUUAAGUGUUUUGUGUGUAUUUUUAUGGUAUUUCUGUAUUAUUUUAUGCUUAGGACUGUUCCAAAUGGAGCUAAAGCAACCUUCAGUUUUCUCUAUUCAAGUUCAUCCCAACAAUGAGAAGUCCAGUCAUAGACAGAUGGUCCAGGAGGGAACUCGGGGCAUGGAGGCAUCGUACAGAGACGUCACUCUGCGUUCGCUGAAUACACUCCUGUGGACCGGACAAAAGCAGCAGGCUGACAGAUGAGGUUUCUGUCUGGGGAUCUCUGUGUUGCUUUACUGUGUGUGUAUUUGUGCAUAUGUGGUGCUCAUGCAUUUGUAUACAUAAAUGUUUUAGUGUGUGCACCUA